rnacentral:rRNA from 1 species
CACGCCGUAAACGAUGAAUACUAGGUGUAGGAGGUAUCGACCCCUUCUGUGCCGCAGUUAACACAAUAAGUAUUCCGCCUGGGGAGUACGGUCGCAAGAUUAAAACUCAAAGGAAUUGACGGGGGCCCGCACAAGCAGCGGAGCAUGUGGUUUAAUUCGAAGCAACGCGAAGAACCUUACCAGGUCUUGACAUCCCGAUGACCGCUCUAGAGAUAGAGUUUUCCCUUCGGGGACAUUGGUGACAGGUGG